AGGAUGAACGCUGGCGGCGUGCCUAAUACAUGCAAGUCGAGCGGUAAGGCCACUUCGGUGGUACACGAGCGGCGGACGGCUGAGUAACACGUAGGAACGUACCCCAAACUGAGGGAUAAGCACCAGAAAAUGGUGUCUAAUACCGCAUGUGCUCUUCGGAGUAAAGCUACGGCGGUUUGGGAACGGCCUGCGCAAGAUUAGCUUGUUGGUGAGGUAAUAGCUCACCAAGGCGACGAUCUUUAGCUGGUCUGAGAGGAUGACCAGCCAGACUGGAACUGAGAACGGUCCAGACUCCUACGGGAGGCAGCAGUAGGGAAUUUUCCACAAUGGAC
rnacentral:rRNA from 1 species